GCACUAUCAUAUCCUUUAUUGGUACCACACUAAGUAAAUGCAGCAAUAAUUUCACUUAAAACCUUCGUUGUUUGUGAAAGAUACAAAUUCCUGCUACUAUAGCUAUUUGAAGUAUUGUUGCCCGAUGUGCUGACUGCUGAGGUAGUAAGUAGUAUGGAUCUCGUUGGUUAAUACCUUGCAUUUUGUUUCUUCAUUCUAGCAAUUCAGCAAUUGACCGUGAUGCACUUCUACAUAGCUAUUUUGAAGUCUUAAUUUAGUUGACUAGUUGAUUUAGCUAUUAAGCUUAGGUGCAUCUAAUUUAGGACUAUUGCAUUUUCUUGUUCCCUUGGAACUUGGAAGUAGUGAACUGAGACAUGAUAGCUGGGAUCUUUCUCUACGAGAAUCAAUUAGUCAGCUGCAGCAUAUCCAGACCAGGGCUUUCAGCGAUCAACUUACUCGCCAAAUGAUGAUUUUCCCAUUUCCAAAGUUUUCUUUCUGGCCUUCAAGGACCCCUGUUACUGCAGAAAUAUCACAGUUUUUUCCCCUCUGUUCUUUGGAUGCCUUUUUGCAAUGCCGUGUAUGCAUUAUAUAUGCCCUUUGGAGUAAUUGGUUAUUUUACGAGUAGAGAUGAAAACGGUCGAAAACAGUAUUUAUUUUGGUAAUCAGUUUUUUUGUCAUUUUUCUUUGAUUGCGAAUAAAUAGAUAUAGAAUCUACUAUACAAAUUUGUAUUUUUGUUUUUAACAUUGAGUUUGUAAAGAUUCAUAAAAGGUAAACC
rnacentral:lncRNA from 1 species